rnacentral:rRNA from 1 species
UACAGAGGUCUCAAGCGUUGUUCGGAAUUAUUGGGCGUAAAGGGUGCGUAGGCGGCAGGGUAAGUUAGAUGUGAAAUACCGGUGCUUAACAUCGGAAUUGCAUUUAAGACUGCCUUGCUUGAGCAUUAGAGAGGAGACUGGAAUUUACGGUGUAGCAGUGAAAUGCGUAGAUAUCGAUCGGAACACCCAUGGCGAAGGCAGCUCGCUGGCCUGUAACUGACGCUGAGGUGCGAAAGCGUGGGGAGCAAACAGG